AUGGGAAAGAAACCUGGAAAGGUAGGGAGGUAUGGAUAUGGACAAGCUAUGCCAAGGAGCAGGGCUUUGUCAUGGAGAGUGACUAGGUGCUUUUACAUAGGAAAGUCACCUGAUAAUAUUAAAACCUGUGAAAUAUCACUCUGGUGGAAGUGUGAAUGAAUUUGAAAGGGGUGUAACACUGUUCUACUUUGUUUACUCCUCAGUACCCUUGGCUGUGUACAUUUGAGUAAAGAGAGCACUAUAAAAUCAAAAACCAAUGAAAUGGUUUCCAGAACACAGAACUAUUAAGCUUAAGAAAAGGACAGAAGGAACUGAAGAGAGAGGAACUGUUUUGGAGCAUCACACUUCCACCUCAGAAGAAAUAAGGAAGGAAGGAGGAGGGUGUUCCCACGGCUCUUCAACCAGGCGGGCUCUUCAGCCUACAUCCCCAUCUCAUCAAGUAAAAGGGAUUUUUCAACUGGACCAACCAGAUGGUUUAACAGUGCACUCCCACACCAUUCAACUACGCAAGGGAGAUACACUUAACAUAUGCAGUCGUAUAACACCUACUAACAUUUUCAAACAUUAAACCUUUAAAAAAGAGUUCUAAAGAAAUAGAAGCUUGAAGUAUCAUCUCUCAAGUAUAUAGACACUACUUCAUGGUGUGGUAAUAUAUGCAUAUAGAAGCUAGUAAACACCUCCAGGAGAUGCAAAAGGAAUUAGAACUGCCACAAGGUGCAAGCAAAACCUUGAGAUAUUCUGCCCAAUCAGAGGCUAACAUCUGCCACAAGACAAAUAUGGUGCCUGCCCCCAUGGAGCUCAUAUUCGAAUGGAGAAAAUGUCAACAAGUAUCCCACGGAGUGAACACUUCAAAAGGAGAAGCACAGGUGAGAAAAUCGAAUUUGGACACCGUUGAGGAGACUAUUGCAGUCAUCCAAGCUCAAGAUGGUGGAGCUUCAUCCUUGAGAAUAACCAAUGGGGAUAGAUUUAAGAGACACUUAGAGUCUGCAGCCAACAGGGCUGAAUGAGCAGAGAGUUAUGAUUCAGAAGAUCAUCUAAAAUUGAACAGCUGCCACUACUGGCAAUAAGUCUACUGCCAUUUGGUAGAUAACCUUCUUAUCACACAGAAAAAUAUCAGUACAGACAAAUAGACUGCAAAGAAAAUGAGACCAUCAGCAAAGAAGAUAAAGAAGUUUGUACAAAGCAACUUUUUAUAAAUGGAUGGCUGUCAGGCAAAAAUAAAUUUCCUGUGGACAAGACCAAGAGCAAGGCAAGAGGAAAAUAAACAUGUUUAAACUA
rnacentral:sRNA from 1 species